rnacentral:rRNA from 1 species
UACGUAGGGUGCGAGCGUUAAUCGGAAUUACUGGGCGUAAAGCGUGCGCAGGCGGCGCCGCAAGUCGAGUGUGAAAGCCCCGGGCUUAACUUGGGAAUUGCGCUCGAAACUAUGGUGCUGGAGUGUGGCAGAGGAAGGUGGAAUUCCACGUGUAGCGGUGAAAUGCGUAGAGAUGUGGAGGAACACCGAUGGCGAAGGCAGCCUUCUGGGCCAACACUGACGCUCAUGCACGAAAGCGUGGGGAGCAAACAGG